rnacentral:lncRNA from 1 species
CUACUCGCUGCAAAAUCUCGUGGUCACUACUCUAUCCUAAUUCUCCUUGACCUGUCUGCGGCUUUUGACACUGUUGAUCAUCAACAGCUUCUUCUCAUCCUCCGCAAUAUCGGUCUACAAGAUACUGCUCUCUCCUGGUGCUCCUCCUACCUCUCCCAGAGCUCUUUCAGUGUUUCUUUCUCUGGCUCUGCUUCUUCUCCCCAACUCCUCUCUGUUGGUGUCCCC